CGCCCCUCGGCAAUCGCCGCCGCCUCCGCGCGGGCAGCCCGCGGGAGGCCAUGAAGGGAUCGGAAAAGCUCGGGAAUCUCCGGGAUGCUCUGGGAGGCAAGGAUCGGGAAGGGUCCGCCUCUUUUAGGGCGGCGGCCGGAGCGCGGAACUGGAAGGACCCGGGUACGGGGCAGCGACUCAGGCUAGAGGUUGCUGCAGUCAAGGGCACAGAAAAAUAUCAUGGCGUCCUCCACAUGCUCUGGGACCUUGGGAUUCCAAGCUGCUGACUCAGGCAGACACGUAGGCAUCUCUGCUCUCAACACCUUGGUGGAGGGAAACUGCUGGACUGCUACUCCAGAGACCCUGAAGAGCAAGAACGGAAAGCAGGGGCUCCUCACCUCUCAGAUGUCACACGGACCUGGAGUGCUGACUCUCCCUCUGGCCUCUCUGAGGCUCCCUGUAGAGGACUCAGGCAUCAGUACCCUAGGACUCCGGAUUAAGAGGUAGACAGAUCUUUGUGAGUCCAAGGCCACCCAGAUCUACACAAGAGUGAAUCAGCCUGAAAGAGAAUUAUAGCUCACACCUUUAAUCCCAGGACUCAUGAGAGGUAUAUAAGACAGGAGCAAGGACUCAGUAUCAGGCAUUCAUUCUCCAGCCACACUGAGGAAAGGCAGCAGUCUGAGGCUUGGUGAAGAGCUCGUGCAUGGAUCAGCCCUUUCAGCCUGAGAUAGAGCAAGGUCCUGAUGGAGGAACGUCCAUCUGAUGGGGAAAGUCCAUGUCUGUAGCACUUGAAGGAAACCAGAGAACAUAGCCUGGGGCAUUGGAGAGAUGGCUCAGCGGUUAAGAGGAUUGACUGCUCUUCCAGAGGACCUGGGUUCAAAUCCCAGCACCCACAUGGCAUCCAGCAACUGUCUAUAACUCCAAGAUCUGACACCCUCACACAGACAUACAUGUAGGCAAAACACCAGUGCACCUAGAGAGAGAGAGAGAGAGAGAGAG
rnacentral:lncRNA from 1 species